rnacentral:RNase_P_RNA from 1 species
AAAAGAAAAUGGGUAAUUGCCCGCCAACAUCUGCGAAGUUGUGGCGGGAGGAAAGUCCGGACACCAUCCCCGCUUUGGCGGGGGAAGCGUACGGGUUAACGACCCGCCGUAGUAAUACGAGAGGUGCGAACAGAGACGUCCCGAUUCGAAAGAAUCGCGGACGCCCCGUCGUAUGACGGGGCGUAACUCUGCAGUAAUGCAGAGAGUGAAACGGCUAAAUCCUUACUGGGUGCAAGUCCGUAUGGACGCUAGAGCUUUAGAGCAAUCUAAUGCCCAGAGAGAUAAUUACCGUCCCCCUAUGGGGGAUACAGAAUCCGGCUUACAGUUUUCUUCUAAGC